UCCCUGCAGGUGGCCAGAGCAGGCCGGUUUGGCACCAAGGGCUUGGCUAUCACAUUUGUAUCCGAUGAGAAUGAUGCCAAGAUCCUCAAUGAUGUGCAGGAUCGCUUUGAGGUCAAUAUUAGUGAGCUGCCUGAUGAGAUAGACAUCUCCUCCUACAGUGAGUACUGAUCUCAUGAAACCCUUUAGGUCCUCCCUGUUCCUUAGUGUGUUUGUGCUAAAUCCCGUCACAUAGGUCUUGGGCACCUGAUGCAUAAUGGACGCUUGACUGGUUCAUGCCCCCUGGUCUUUGAUGCUGUGUUGGGAUGUUUUCCUGACCUUUAUGUGGGGUUUCUGUCUUCUCUCAUCAUAUUACAUGCCUUCCCUCACCCCCACGUCCGUCCUCAGAACCAAGGCAGUACACCAGCGUCUGCAUGUGUGCCGUGUGUUCCUGCCUCGCUUUCCCCUUUUCAUGCCUUAUUCUGACCAUGCUACGUUUUCUUCUCAGUUGAACAGACACGGUAGAAGACUCGCCCAUUCUGGAAUGUGACCGUCUGUCCUUCAGGAGAGGACACCAGGGUGGGGGUGAAGGAGACACUACUGCCCCCACCCCUGACAGCCCCCACCCCAUGGCUUCCAUCUUUUGCAUCACCACCACUCCUGAACCCCCAUUUCUGAUUUGUCAGAAUUUUUUUUAACAAAACUAAAAAUGAAA
rnacentral:sRNA from 1 species